rnacentral:lncRNA from 1 species
GAUCACAGUAGCCGGCAUAAUCUGCAACAGCUAUGGGAAGAUUACUGACGGCUCAUUGACAAGAACUGGAAUAUGCAACCUGCAUACAAGGACGUUUUGAUAUCUUUGUCCUGGUGAAGUGAGGAGUCUGGAAUUAAACUACAUGUAAUACACACCAGGGCAUAGGACAGCACUCAGUCUUGUGUGUUGGUGCUCACCGCACCUUACCAUUUAAAGGAUCUCCCUGCUCAGCACUGUGAAAAGACUCCCACAUCAGCCUGCUGGGCAGACAUUUCCUUUCCAGAGAAUACAGAGGUGAUAUGUUCAUGUUAAGAGCGAAAAUGCAAGUCCUGCUGAGAGACUGGAACUCUUAUGAUUGCUGGAUGAGGAUUUUGCUGCGCCAUUCAACCCUACCCGCAGCGGCCCACGUUCUGCAGUCUGGCUGGGUGCUACGUACAGCGUGUCUUUGGUGAAUCACUUGUGACUCUAUCCCUGUCGCUGGAUCUCGGAAUGGAUGACCUUAGAGAUUUUGCAGCCCACCUAAGCCUUCCUAAUUAACAUGUUCUCAAGUUCUCUUUGCCUCCCUACUCGUGAUAUUUGUGGUAUUUCAUUGCUACAUCUUGUGGUGGCCAUCAAGGGACAUUGCAAUUGGAAAUGAGUCUGUGCAUUGGAGAGAUGGACAAACCCACCUUCAGUGCUGCUGCGGUUGCCCAGAAGUCAGUGAAGUGACAUGAAGAGGGAACAGCGGCCAUUAGAUUUCUUCACAAAGCGAGCUUCCUCGUUCUCUGUCCAUCAUAACUUCAGUAAAGCCAGUGGUCUGGAUUCUGCAGAAAAAUGAGACCAUUACCCAACAGGUGCAUAUCAGAUUCCCACAAAG